rnacentral:ncRNA from 2 species
CUUCCCAAGGAGCGUUGCAGCGGGCCGAUCGACAGAUGCCCGUCAGGCUUGGGACCGCAUCCGCAACGACGCUCACCGGCC